GUUCAAAUAGGGUACCUGCUGGUAGCUCAGCACUUGUGUACUUGACUACUUUCUGCUGAGGAGUCUUGCUUGCCGGUAAUCUAGAUUUAUGCCACAAGAAGGAAUUUAACAAACAAUAUUAAGAAAAUUGCGUGGGAGGAGACUUGCCUUUCAUUUGAAGGGAAACAAUACAGUCAUCACACUAACAUCACCCACUUCUGGAAAAUUAAUGGGCGAUCUUGAGAGCAAGGACAGGAGUUGUAUUCCCAAGUCCUUUGGCAGUUCUAAAGAAGCUACAUAAACUUUCAGUGCCUCAGUUUCUACUUCCUAAGGUAGCUGUCACUCUUUGCUACAGAAACUCAACCUGCAGCAGAUUGGCUGGAUUGAAACAGAAGAGAAGCACAAAAUCUGGGGAUGCCAUUACCUCCAAGUUCCCUUGAUGCAACCAUGCAAUCAACUUGUCACCUUCUACCCUAUUCUGAUAGUUUUCUAUGAAAGACAUAAAAUACACUGAAGAAGCUGGACAAACUACUGAUAUGAUGCUCAUGUUCAGACUAAA